GAACGCGAAGAACCUUACCAGGUCCUGACAUCCCUCUGACCGCUCUAGAGAUAGAGUUUUCCUUCGGGACAGAGGUGACAGGUGGUGCAUGGUUGUCGUCAGCUCGUGUCGUGAGAUGUUGGGUUAAGUCCCGCAACGAGCGCAACCCCUAUUGUUAGUUGCCAUCAUUCAGUUGGGCACUCUAGCGAGACUGCCGGUAAUAAACCGGAGGAAGGUGGGGAUGACGUCAAAUCAUCAUGCCCCUUAUGACCUGGGCUACACACGUGCUACAAUGGUUGGUACAACGAGUCGCAAGCCGGUGACGGCAAGCUAAUCUCUUAAAGCCAGUCUCAGUUCGGAUUGUAGGCUGCAACUCGCCUACAUGAAGUCGGAAUCGCUAGUAAUCGCGGAUCAGCACGCCGCGGUGAAUACGUUCCCGGGUCUUGUACACACC
rnacentral:rRNA from 1 species